rnacentral:rRNA from 1 species
AUACGGAAGGUCCGGGCGUUAUCCGGAUUUAUUGGGUUUAAAGGGAGCGCAGGCGGAGAUGCAAGCGUGACGUCAAAUUUCGGGGCUCAACCCCGUCUCGCGUCGCGAACUGCGUCCCUUGGUUGCGGGAAGGGGAGGCGGAACUCGUGGUGUAGCGGUGAAAUGCAUAGAUAUCACGAAGAACUCCGAUCGCGAAGGCAGCCUUCCGGCCCGUCAACGACGCGCAUGCUCGAAGGUGCGGGUAGCAAACAGGAUUAGAUACCCUGGUAGUCCGCACAGUAAACGAUGGACACCCGCGGUUUGGCCUGUAUGGCUGAGCCGCCAAGCGAAAGCGUUAAGUGUCCCACCUGGGGAGUACGCCGGCAACGGUGAAACUCAAAGGAAUUGACGGGG